ensembl:lncRNA
AUGCGAUUUCUGGAAAGCUCUGGGGAAGAAGUGGAGGCAUUGCAUGAAUUUCUGAAUGAGUUGAAGACAGACUUGGCUAUGGAAGACCAAGAGAGAUUCCAACAGGACCUGCUAGACAGGGAGAGGUUUUUAAAGGAGUUUCUUCGGUGAAAAAGGAGCUGGAAGAGAGCAUAAAGCUCUAAGCACUUGCAGACAGGGUUGACAAGUCACACAGGGACUGUACCAUCUUCAAGGUGGUGGCCAGCUCUACCGGCACUGUGUCUGGUGCUCUGAACACCCUUGGCCUGGCUCUGGCACCCCUGACAGCAGGGGCCAGGUGGCGCUCUCGACCAUUGGGUUAGGGCUGGGAGCAGCAGCUGUGGUGACCACUGUGUCCACCAGCAUCGUGGAACACUUUAGUAGGUCAUCAGCAGAAAUGGAAGCCAGUGGGCUGUUGUCAACUAGCAUCAAAGAAAGGUGUCUGUGGGAGCUCGAUGUCUGUGUGCACUAGGGAUCGCUUUUUCUAUGGCAAAAGUCUACAAAUCCAUGAAAGGGGUUAGGAAAAAUGUCCAUGCUGCAAAGCUGGUGAAAGACAACUCUCAGCAGCCCAUGCUAAAAGCUUCACGAGCACUGUGCAAGUCUCUGUCCAAACCAGCAAGGAGGUGAGUGAAGCUUUCAAAGGCAUGGCUCUGGCAAUGACCAAAAAGACCUGGAUAUUGCUGGAAGCUUUGCAGGACUCUCCCUUCUAGUGGAUGUGGGCUUCCUGGUAAAAGAGUCAGUGCACUUACAUGAGGGGGCAAAGACAGAGUUGGCUGAGAAGCUGAGGCAGCCGGCCAGGGAGCUGGAGGAGAAGUUUAAGCAGGUCAUACAGACCUAUGAGCGGCUGAAGUAAGGCCCGACUCCCCCACCCCCAGAGCAGUACAGGAACCAGAGACACACGUGAGACCAAGGUUGAGAGCACCUUGUUAGAGGGGAAAGGAGGGGAGACAACACUGACGGAGCUGGGUGUUAGGAAUCUGGCAUUUCUGCAGCUGAGCACAGCAGGGGAGGAAUGCAUACAGGUGGAAGAGGGGAGAGACAAGGAAGGAGCCUGGGGCCUAGACUAAGGGAGGAGGGGGACUAGUGAGUGAUUGGAGGGGAGAAACCACUUAUUUUGGACUAAAGAACACAUUGCGGGCAGAGUUCCCUCAUUGCACGGCAACUAACAACGAGAGGCCAGGAAUAUGAAAGGCUUUAAAAUGGGAGAAAGUCAAAGAGGAACCAUAGCUGGGAUCCAGGAGAAGUAGCCUGGGCUCCUCUAUCGCCCUCCCCAGGGUUUGCUGUCCAGCAAGAAGAGUCUCCCCCUGGUGGUGGUCUCUAGCCCUCCUUCUCCAGCAUCAAUGCACCUUUGAUCCCAGCACAUUUAUCUUAGUUAGGCAGUGACUUCUUGAUGAAGAUGGUGGUGGUGGUGGUGGCGGCAGCGAUGAAUACUCAGUGGGUGGAACAUUUGUCAAGAUGCAGGUGAUAUUUGGGACCAGGAUACACUGAGUGACUAAUGAAGUUCCUAUGAAAUUCCAAAUGCUGUGUGAAACAGAGGUUGAUUAAAAAAAAAAAAAAAAUUACAAAAGAAAGAAACAAUGACACCAGAAGGCAACAACUGAUCAAGGAACUUUGUGGUGUGUCAAGGUGAUCAACCAGCCUGAGGUGAAGAGAGGCAGCCUCUCAGACCCUCGGUUUCUUCUUCAGCUAUGGGUGGGGCUGGGUAAGACAUUUCAGGUUCCUUUGUCUCUCCCCACCUUUUGUUCUCCAGACUCUGGUUCAAUAAAUACGAGCUGAUUCACUGAGG